CUUAGGACUCUGCACACUGGAACAACUUAUUCAUGAGCACUUCUUUGCAGCAAAGAAUUCUCUGCAGCUCUUCCUGUGGGCAGAGAGCAUGGGUAGAUGGUCUCCACUCAGCCUUGCUCUUUGUAACAUGAUGGAACCAAAGAAAUCUCUCUUCUACCAGACAGUAAGAACCUAGGUUGCUGGGACAACAUGUCAGCUGCAAAAAAAACCUUAAAAUAAAGGUGGCUCAUUUCCAAG